rnacentral:rRNA from 1 species
GACGAACGCUGGCGGCGUGCUUAACACAUGCAAGUGGAGCGACGAACCAGGGCUUGCCCUGGGGCAGAGCCGCGAACGGGUGAGUAACACGUGGGUAACCUGCCCCGAUGACCGGGACAACCCGAGGAAACUCGGGCUAAUACCGGAUGGGGACCUCUCCCAUCAGUGAGUUGUCCAAAGGUAGCUUCGGCUUCCGCAUUGGGAUGGGCCCGCGGCCCAUUAGCUUGUGGGAGAGGUAACGGCUUACCAAGGCUUCGAUGGGUAGCUGGUCUGAGAGGACGAUCAGCCACACUGGGACUGAGACACGGCCCAGACUCCUACGGGAGGCAGCAGUGGGGAAUCUUGCGCAAUGCGCGAAAGCGUGACGCAGCAACGCCGCGUGGGGGAAGAAGGCCUUCGGGUUGUAAACCCCUUUCAGGAGGGACGAAGGUCACACGGUUAACAGCCGGCGUGACUGACGGUACCUCCAGAAGAAGCCCCGGCUAACUACGUGCCAGCCGCCGCCGUAAUAC